GUGUUCACUUUGGCAGCAUAUAUACUAAAAUUGGAUAGAUACAGAGAAGAUCAGCAUGGACCCUGCACAAAGAUGACAUGCAAAUUCGUGAAGCAUUCCAUAUUUUU